GUGCAUGAAAAAAUCUUGAAGAAAAAUGGAGCAGCAAAAUUGCAGAGAAAGGAUAGGAAAGCAGAACUUAGGAAGGCAAAAAAAUUUAAGUUCUGGUGUGAAAUGUGUCAGAUUGGUGCUUACUCUGCGGUGGUGAUGGAGGCUCAUAGAAAAGGGAAGAAACAUCAAGGCAGGCUGGCAGAACUUAAUCAAAACAGCGAAGCUGUGUCAACGAUCACCACAAUGGAUGCUAAAGCUGGUGAGAAGGCAAAAGGUACAGAAAAAGAAAAUGAGAAG
rnacentral:misc_RNA from 1 species